UACGUAGGGCGCAAGCGUUAUCCGGAAUUAUUGGGCGUAAAGAGCUCGUAGGCGGUUUGUCGCGUCGGGAGUGAAAUCCACUGGCUUAACUGGUGGCUUGCUUUCGAUACGGGCAGACUGGAGGUAUGCAGGGGGAGAACGGAAUUCCUGGUGUAGCGGUGAAAUGCGCAGAUAUCAGGAGGAACACCGGUGGCGAAGGCGGUUCUCUGGGCAUGUCCUGACGCUGAGGAGCGAAAGCGUGGGGAGCAAACAGG
rnacentral:rRNA from 1 species